GUCUCUCUCUCUCUCUCUGUCUCUCUCUCUGUCUCUCUCUCUCUGUCUCUCUCUCUCUGUCUCUCUCUCUCUCUCUCUCUCUCUCUCUCUCUCUCUCUCUCUCUCUCUCUCUCUCUGAUUGAUGGGGGAUUUUCACCUAACUUAUUUGACUCAUUAUGUUCCAACAGAUGGGACCAAUGGAACAUCAUCCACAGACAUGACUAGAACACAAGCCAAUCAAGACCCAGACACAGGUACCAUCACCAACCCCAUCUACACCACAACAGAUACAGCCUGUGACAUCACCACCAUAUUUGCAACGCCAACCAAUCCUUGUCCAGAUGUCAUUUACUUCAACGUUGGUCCGUCUACAGAGGUUCCAGACAAUGUGACCUACGCUACAGUCAACAUCCCCAGAGAUCCAGCCUGUCUCCACUAUACUACUGUCAACUUCCCCAGAGAUUCAAUCUGUCUCCACUAUACUACUAUCAACUUCCCCAGAGAUCCAGCCCGUCUCCACUAUGCUACUGUCAACUUCCCCAGAGAUUCAGUCUGUCUCCACUAUACUACUGUCAACUUCCCCAGAGAUUCAGUCUGUCUCCACUAUGCUACUGUCAACUUCCCCAGUCUCCUUCAGUAAAGACUCUGAUGCUAGUAACCACCCAGACACUGACCCCAACAGCUGUAGACACCUCAUAAUGUACCUCACCAUUAAACACUCUGCUACAUAGUCUA